rnacentral:rRNA from 1 species
UACGUAGGGUGCGAGCGUUGUCCGGAAUUAUUGGGCGUAAAGAGCUCGUAGGCGGUCUGUCGCGUCGAUCGUGAAAACUUGGGGCUUAACCCUGAGCUUGCGGUCGAUACGGGCAUGACUGGAGUUCGGCAGGGGAGACUGGAAUUCCUGGUGUAGCGGUGAAAUGCGCAGAUAUCAGGAGGAACACCGGUGGCGAAGGCGGCCCGCUGGGCAGUGGCUGACGCUGAGGCGCGACAGCGUGGGGAGCAAACAGG